CUUGGAGUUUAUCUUUCCAUGAGGAAGAAAGAUAAAGAAAAGGCUACACGUCAAUUUAUUAGCGCGCUAUUAAGGUUUAUUUUAAGCCAUAAAAUUCAUUUUCAAUAAUUGGUAGUGAAAUACGAAGAUUAAAGAUUAGGUGGCAAUUGAUAAAUUGACUAAUUGGU
rnacentral:ncRNA from 1 species